rnacentral:rRNA from 1 species
UACGAAGGGGGCUAGCGUUGCUCGGAAUUACUGGGCGUAAAGGGCGCGUAGGCGGAUAUCUAAGUUGGGGGUGAAAUCCCGGGGCUCAACCUCGGAAUUGCCUUCAAAACUGGAUAUCUUGAGUUCGGGAGAGGUGAGUGGAACUCCGGGUGUAGAGGUGAAAUUCGUAGAUAUUCGGAAGAACACCAGUGGCGAAGGCGACUCACUGGCCCGAUACUGACGCUGAGGCGCGAAAGCGUGGGGAGCAAACAGG